GGAGGGAUGGCCGAGUGGACGAAGGCGCCUGUCUUGAAAACAGGUUAGGUGCAAGCCUACGUGGGUUCGAAUCCCACUCCCUCCG
rnacentral:tRNA from 1 species